GCGCGCGCGGCCCGGGGGGGAGGGAGGGAGGAAGGAUGGGGAGGGGCGUAUCGAUUCAAACCCAAACAAUAACAAAGCCAUCAAAGGGCCGCCCCGAGGCCAGCUCUGCCGGGCUCUGGGUUUCCCGGAGAUUUGAGUGCAGGAGUGUGUGGGGAGGGGGCGGUUCGAGGGUUGGAGCCGGAGCGUAGCUAGUGGUGAGAAAUGAUGGAAGGGCGUUGGUGUGGCCGGCGCGGAGGCCACGAGCAGGGACCGCGUGUGCGUGUGUGUGUGUGUGUGUGUGUGUGUGUGUGUGUGUAUGCCGAUCAGGGUGGUCCUCUGGUGUGACUCAGCCCGGAGACCUCCAAGGCUGCUGGGGCGGAUUGACGAUGCUCUGUGGGCUAGAUCCUGGGGGUGGUGAUUGGGAUUUUUUUGAGGGGGGGACGAAGGCUGUGCAAGGCGUGAGUCACCGGCAUUUUGCACACCGAAGCCUGCGAGGGGAAGGUGGGGGGACCUGGGCUGCGAGGAGCCGGUGACGAAGAUCCUCCAUUUAGAAAGGCAGAGAGGAUCGGAAGGUCCCGGGAGGUUUUGAUCUCCCUCGGAGAGGAACCGUGUCCGAGCGCCUGGGAGAGAGAAGAGGAAAUCACGACCCAAAUGCUGUAGACUGGGUGCAGAGAACAUCACCUACCUCCUCGCUGGAAGAAGCAAAGUCUGACUGUGACCCAGCACAAAGCAAGCCUCGGACCCAGCACAAAGCUAACCCCAGCUAUGACACGGCAACAGAGCCCAUUGUGAUGGCAAUUAUGACAGCGAGCGCCUUGAACAGAGAUUGUUGGUCAUCCUGUUAUUGCGAUCACAUUUGUGUGAGGCAGGUGGGGAUGGGCACACAUCACAGGGAGCAUGUGGAGGUCAGAGGACAGUUCUCAGGUGCUGAUGUUGGAAGGCCCUUAUACCUGGAAGGGUCCAAAGGUAAACUUGCCGGAUAAAGGAACUGAGAGGUGCUGCCAAACAGAGUUUGAUCUCCUGGGUCCUUAAAUCCCCAAGAUGUCCUUUGAUUCUCUCUCUCUCUCUCUCUCUCUCUCUUUUUCUCUCUCAUACUCUUUCUCAAUAAACAAAGGGGGCUGAAGAAAUGAUGGCUCAGCUGUUAAUAGUGCUUACUGCUCUUGCAGAGGACCUGAAUUCAGUUCCCAGCACCCAAGUCUAAGUGACUCACAACCCCCUAUAACUCCAGCUCCCAUGGGAUUGAUCCUAUGUCCUAAUCAGAUCCCUUCGGGCACCUGUCCUCUUGUGAACCUGUACACACACACCUACACAUACAUAUAAUUUAAAAUAAAAUGCUUUAAAAAAUGUGGGAGUGGGAAAAAC